ACUGUGGUAGCGGGGACGCUUAGGCAGGGCCUGCGCCCAGUUUAGAGGCCAAUGCUUCUCCCGUCCUUUGCAUGGCACCCAAGAAGGAGAAAGGAGGAACUGUGAACACCAGUUCUAAGAUAUGGGAACCCUCGCUCAUAGCUGCACAGUUCAAUCAGAACGAUUGGCAGGCCUCCAUUGCUUUUGUGGUUGGGAACCAGAUUGAAGAUGAUCUUCUCAUCCAAGCCCUUACCGUGGCUGUCCAGGUCCCUCAGCGUAAACUCUUCAGUAUGGUGUCGUGGCAAGACAUUCUCCAGCAGAUUAAUGAAAUAAAUACACUUGUUGGAUCUGCUUCAUCUAAAAAGGCAAAAAAACCUGUAGGUGGUAAUGCUCCUUUAUAUUAUGAGGUGUUAACGGCAGCAAAAGCAAUUAUGGAUAGUGGAGAGAAAUUAACCUUACCACUGAUAGGGAAACUCUUGAAAUUUCAACUUCUCCAGAUUAAAUUUAAGGACCAACAGCGACGGGAAAAUGAAAAGAAGGUAAUAGAAGACAAACCUAAGUUAGAAAAGGAUAAAGGGAAAGCAAAAUCUCCCAAGGAGAAAAAGGCUCCAAGUGCCAAGCCUGCCAAAGGAAAGGGAAAGGAUCAGCCUGAGGCAAAUGCACCAGUGAAAAAGACCACCCAGUUAAAGCGGAGAGGAGAAGACGACCACACCAAUCGUUACAUUGACGAUGAGCCAGAUGAUGGUGCCCAACAUUACAUUAUAGUUGUGGGCUUUAACAAUCCUCAGCUAUUAGCAAUUAUGGCUGAGCUUGGCAUUCCUAUAACCAGCGUGAUUAAAAUAUCUUCAGAGAAUUAUGAACCUCUGCAGACACACCUGGCAGCAGUUAACCAGCAGCAGGAAGUUCUUCUUCAGUCAGAAGAUCUAGAAGCAGAAAAAUUGAAGAAAGAAAAUGCCAUAAAAGAGCUUAAAACUUUCUGGAAGUACUUGGAACCAGUCCUGAAUAAUGAGAAACCUGAAACAAAUCUCUUUGAUGUUGCUCGACUUGAGUACAUGGUCAAAGCAGCUGAUUUUCCUUCUGACUGGUCAGAUGGUGAGAUGAUGCUGAAAUUGGGCACUGAUAUUUUUGAAAAUAUUGCCUGCUUGAUGUAUGACAUCCUGGAUUGGAAAAGGCAGCACCAGCACUAUUUGGAAAGCAUGCAGCUUAUUAAUGUUCCACAAGUGGUUAAUGAGAAACCUGUAUUAGAAGCCAUGCCAACUUCAGAGGCUCCACAACCUGCUGUACCAGCUCCUGGAAAGAAGAAAGCACAGUAUGAAGAACCGCAAGCUCCACCACCAGUGACUUCAGUCAUCACAACUGAAGUAGACAUGAGAUAUUACAAUUAUUUGCUGAAUCCAAUUCGAGAGGAAUUCAUUUCUGUGCCCCUGAUACUGCAUUGUAUGCUGGAACAGGUUGUUGCAACUGAAGAAGAUCUCGUCCCACCCAGUCUGCGGGAGCCAUCCCCCAGAGCAGACGGGCUAGACCACAGAAUCGCAGCUCACAUUGUGUCCCUUCUGCCCUCACUCUGUCUCUCAGAGAGGGAGAAAAAGAAUCUUCAUGACAUAUUUUUAUCUGAAGAAGAAAAUGAAAGCAAAGCAGUGCCCAAAGGCCCCCUCCUACUGAACUAUCAUGAUGCACACGCCCACAAGAAGUACGCACUACAGGACCAAAAGAAUUUUGAUCCAGUUCAAAUUGAGCAGGAGAUGCAGUCCAAGUUGCCACUGUGGGAAUUUCUUCAAUUCCCUCUACCCCCACCAUGGAACAACACUAAACGUCUAGCUACAAUUCAUGAGCUUAUGCACUUUUGUACGAGUGAUGUCUUGAGCUGGAAUGAAGUAGAACGAGCCUUCAAGGUGUUUACUUUUGAGAGCCUGAAGCUCUCUGAGGUUGAUGAAAAAGGGAAACUGAAACCUUCUGGGAUGAUGUGUGGGUCAGAUUCUGAAAUGUUCAACAUACCGUGGGACAACCCUGCCAGAUUUGCUAAACAGAUAAGGCAGCAAUAUGUCAUGAAAAUGAAUACUCAAGAGGCCAAGCAGAAAGCAGAUAUUAAAAUCAAAGACAGAACACUAUUUGUGGAUCAGAAUUUGUCAAUGUCUGUGCAAGAUAAUGAAAGCAACCGAGAACCUUCAGAUCCUAGUCAGUGUGAUGCUAACAAUAUGAAGCAUUCUGACUUGAAUAAUCUCAAACUCUCAGUCCCUGAUAAUAGACAGCUGUUAGAGCAGGAGAGCAUCAUGAAGGCUCAGCCCCAACAUGAGUCUCUGGAGCAGACCACAAACAAUGAGAUCAAAGAUGAUGCAGUCACAAAGGCUGAUUCUCAUGAAAAGAAACCCAAGAAGAUGAUGGUGGAAGCAGAUUUAGAGGACAUAAAGAAAACACAGCAGCGCAGUCUAAUGGACUGGAGUUUUACUGAACAUUUUAAACCGAAAGUACUGCUUCAGGUCCUUCAAGAAGCCCAUAAGCAAUAUAGGUGUGUUGAUUCUUACUACCACACCCAAGACAACUCUUUACUUUUAGUCUUUCACAAUCCAAUGAAUAGACAACGUUUGCAUUGUGAAUAUUGGAACAUUGCUCUCCACUCCAAUGUUGGAUUCAGGAAUUAUUUGGAACUUGUUGCAAAAUCUAUUCAAGAUUGGAUUACAAAAGAAGAAGCUAUAUAUCAGGAAUCUAAAAUGAAUGAGAAAAUCAUCAGGACCAGAGCUGAGCUGGAAUUGAAAUCUUCUGCUAAUGCCAAACUUACUUCUGCUAGCAAAAUUUUUUCCAUUAAAGAAUCUAAAAGUAACAAAGGAAUCAGCAAAACAGAGAUAUCAGAUCAAGAAAAAGAAAAAGAGAAGGAAAAGAUUCCUUUCAUUUUAGAAGGCUCUCUCAAGGCAUGGAAAGAAGAGCAACAUCGAUUAGCAGAAGAGGAGCGCUUAAGGGAAGAAAAGAAAGCAGAGAAGAAGGGUAAAGAAGCUGGUAAAAAGAAAGGCAAGGAUAACGCAGAGAAAGAGGAUAGUAGGUCUUUGAAGAAAAAAUCACCUUACAAGGAGAAAUCUAAAGAAGAACAAGUCAAGAUCCAAGAAGUAACAGAAGAGUCCCCCCACCAACCAGAACCUAAGAUAACUUACCCGUUUCACGGAUACAAUAUGGGAAAUAUACCCACUCAAAUCUCAGGGUCAAAUUACUACCUGUAUCCUUCUGAUGGGGGGCAGAUUGAAGUGGAAAAGACAAUGUUUGAAAAAGGCCCAACUUUUAUCAAAGUGAGAGUGGUAAAGGACAACCACAAUUUUAUGAUUCAUUUAAAUGACCCUAAGGAAAUUGUGAAAAAGGAAGAGAAAGGGGAUUAUUAUUUAGAAGAGGAAGAAGAAGGAGAUGAGGAACAAAGUCUUGAAACGGAAGUAUCAGAUGCAAAGAAUAAAGCUUUCAGCAAGUUUGGAUCUUUUUCUGCCACCUUAGAAAAUGGAAUCUGCCUCUCGAUAAGUUACUAUGGAUCAAAUGGAAUGGCACCAGAAGAUAAGGAUCCUGAUUUAGAAACAAUAUUGAAUAUCCCUUCAGCACUCACUCCAACAGUGGUUCCUGUUAUAGUGACCGUUCCUCAAAGCAAAGCUAAAGGGAAAAUAAAAGGCAAAGAAAAACCCAAAGAAUCCCUUAAAGAAGAAGAACACCCAAAAGAAGAAGAGAAAAAGGAAGAAGAAGUAGAACCAGAACCUGUUUUACAAGAGACUUUGGAUGUUCCCACCUUCCAGAGCCUAAAUGUGUCUUGCCCCAGUGGGCUCCUGUUGACUUUCAUUGGACAAGAAUCUACAGGUCAAUAUGUUAUAGAUGAGGAACCCACCUGGGACAUCAUGGUCCGUCAGAGCUACCCCCAGAGGGUGAAGCACUAUGAGUUCUAUAAAACGGUGAUGCCACCCGCAGAGCAGGAGGCUUCAAGGGUUAUCACCAGUCAAGGCACUGUUGUCAAAUAUAUGUUGGAUGGAUCCACACAGAUUCUCUUUGCAGAUGGUGCUGUGAGCAGGAGUCCCAAUUCAGGUCUUAUUUGUCCUCCUUCUGAAAUGCCAGCAACGCCUCACAGUGGAGAUUUGAUGGACUCUAUUUCUCAGCAGAAAUCAGAAACGAUACCAUCUGAGAUUACCAACACAAAGAAAGGAAAAAGUCACAAAAGUCAGUCAUCAAUGGCCCAUAAGGGUGAAAUCCAUGACCCUCCUCCAGAGGCAGUUCAAACUGUAACUCCUGUGGAGGUUCACAUAGGCACCUGGUUUACAACCACACCUGAAGGAAAUCGGAUCGGCACCAAAGGAUUAGAAAGAAUAGCAGACUUGACCCCAUUGUUAUCCUUUCAGGCCACAGAUCCUGUCAAUGGAACGGUUAUGACAACUCGAGAAGACAAAGUUGUCAUAGUUGAAAGGAAAGAUGGUACUCGGAUAGUGGAUCAUGCUGAUGGUACCAGAAUCACAACCUUUUAUCAAGUUUAUGAAGAUCAAAUUAUUCUGCCAGAUGAUCAAGAAACAACCGAGGGUCCUCGGACUGUCACCAGGCAGGUGAAGUGUAUGCGGGUAGAAAGCUCACGCUAUGCCACUGUUAUCGCCAACUGUGAGGACAGUAGCUGCUGUGCCACCUUUGGAGAUGGAACAACUAUUAUUGCAAAGCCACAGGGAACAUACCAGGUGUUACCUCCAAACACAGGCUCUCUUUAUAUUGACAAGGAUUGUUCAGCUGUGUACUGCCAUGAGUCAAGCAGUAAUAUAUACUAUCCUUUUCAAAAGCGUGAGCAGCUGCGAGCUGGCAGGUACAUCAUGAGGCAUACUUCAGAGGUUAUCUGUGAGGUUCUGGAUCCUGAGGGAAACACUUUUCAGGUCAUGGCUGAUGGUAGCAUAUCAACUAUAUUACCUGAAAAAAAAUUGGAAGAUGAUUUAAAUGAGAAAACUGAGGGCUAUGAUAGUCUGUCCUCUAUGCACCUUGAAAAGAAUCAUCAGCAAAUCUAUGGUGAACAUGUCCCCAGGUUUUUUGUUAUGUAUGCUGAUGGAUCAGGAAUGGAACUUCUUCGAGACAGUGACAUAGAAGAAUAUCUAUCUUUGGCAUAUAAAGAAUCAAAUACUGUUGUUCUCCAAGAGCCAGUGCAGGAACAGCCAGGCACCCUAACCAUCACAGUCCUUCGCCCUUUCCAUGAAGCAUCACCAUGGCAAGUAAAAAAGGAAGAUACAAUUGUCCCUCCUAAUCUCCGGUCAAGGUCAUGGGAAACAUUUCCCUCAGUUGAGAAAAAAACUCCAGGACCUCCGUUUGGUACUCAGAUUUGGAAAGGCCUUUGCAUUGAGUCCAAACAGCUAGUGAGUGCCCCGGGUGCCAUACUCAAGAGCCCCAGUGUGCUACAGAUGCGCCAAUUCAUUCAGCAUGAGGUCAUAAAGAAUGAGGUGAAACUGAGGCUGCAGGUUUCCCUUAAGGAUUACAUAAACUAUAUUCUAAAGAAAGAAGAUGAGCUGCAGGAAAUGAUGGUUAAAGAUUCCAGAACUGAGGAGGAGAGAGGCAAUGCUGCUGAUCUCCUCAAGCUGGUUAUGUCUUUCCCUAAAAUGGAGGAAACUACAAAAAGUCAUGUUACUGAAGUUGCAGCUCACCUAACUGAUUUAUUCAAGCAGUCUUUGGCUACGCCUCCAAAAUGCCCACCAGACACAUUUGGUAAAGAUUUCUUUGAAAAGACAUGGAGACACACAGCAUCCUCAAAACGCUGGAAAGAAAAGAUAGACAAAACGAGGAAGGAAAUUGAGACAACACAGAAUUACCUAAUGGAUAUUAAGAACCGCAUAAUACCACCCUUUUUUAAAUCUGAAUUGAACCAGUUAUAUCAGUCUCAGUAUAAUCACCUGGACAGUCUUUCCAAAAAACUGCCUUCUUUUACAAAGAAAAAUGAAGAUGCAAACGAAACAGCUGUUCAAGAUACAUCUGAUCUUAAUCUAGAUUUCAAGCCACAUAAGGUUUCAGAACAGAAAUCCUCAAGUGUGCCUAGUCUUCCAAAACCAGAGAUUUCUGCAGAUAAGAAGGAUUUCACUGCUCAGAACCAAACUGAAAAUUUAACAAAAUCUCCUGAAGAAGCAGAAUCUUAUGAGCCCGUGAAAAUUCCAACCCAGUCCUUGCUGCAGGAUGUUGCGGGACAAACAAGAAAAGAAAAAGUGAAGUUGCCUCAUUAUUUGCUGAGUUCCAAGCCUAAGUCUCAACCUCUUGCAAAGGUGCAAGAUUCUGUUGGAGGAAAAGUGAACACAUCCUCUGUUGCAUCUGCUGCCAUUAAUAAUGCAAAGUCAUCCCUUUUUGGGUUCCAUCUUCUCCCAUCAUCAGUCAAGUUUGGAGUGCUUAAGGAAGGACAUACCUAUGCCACAGUUGUAAAGCUCAAGAAUGUUGGAGUGGACUUCUGCAGGUUUAAAGUAAAGCAGCCCCCACCCAGCACAGGACUGAAAGUGACUUACAAACCUGGACCUGUGGCAGCUGGUAUGCAGACAGAACUGAAUAUAGAGUUAUUUGCCACAGCUGUUGGAGAGGAUGGGGCCAAGGGAUCAGCACACAUCUCUCACAAUAUCGAGAUUAUGACAGAGCAUGAGGUUCUGUUCCUACCUGUGGAAGCAACUGUUUUAACAAGCAGCAAUUAUGAUAAACGACCAAAAGACUUUCCCCAGGGAAAAGAAAAUCCAAUGGUCCAGAGAACUUCUACAAUUUAUUCCUCCACACUUGGAGUCUUCAUGUCUCGUAAAGUUUCUCCACAUUAGGAACCCCUCCUUCUUACUUCAGAAAAAGUAUUCUAAAAUGGCAAGAUCUGCAUGAGUUUAGAGUCAGUCAGAUCUGGGUUGACAACUGAACUCUGCCCCUUACCAACUAUGCUACAAGUCAAGCCAGAUUCCUUAUCUAUAAGUUUCUUCUCGGUACAACUCAAUAGCCUCCAUAAUCCUCUCAGCCUACAGAGGAUGAGAAAGGAAAGAAGUCAUCACAACAUACUCCAUCAUCCCAGGACACUGAAACUGGAAGAACUGACCAGAAAUUUGCCAAAUGAAAUAGCUUCAAUCUGUUUAAUAAAGACGUGCGAAUAGAGUGCCAAAAAGCAUUUAAAGACAUUUUUGGUUUUCUUAUUUUUUAAUGUACAGGGAAGAGACUGAGUGUCAUGGACUCAGGUGGGAUGAUAUCUAGACACUCUGAAUAGGGCAGGUCCCAGGAACACCUGAAAGGAGCACAUAUUGAUCAAAGAGAUUCAGGACUACUCCCAUCUUUGGUUACAAGAGAAGGAAACAGGUUAUAAUCCCCAUCUUUAAAUCUCAUCAACUUUUUGCCAAAAAAAUGGCUUUCUGGUUGAUACAGAAUAAAACUUUUACUAAAAA